ACGUAGGGGGCAAGCGUUAUCCGGAUUUACUGGGUGUAAAGGGAGCGCAGGCGGAUGGCUAAGUCUGAUGUGAAAGCCCGGGGCUCAACCCCGGGACUGCAUUGGAAACUGGUUAUCUUGAGUGUCGGAGAGGUAAGUGGAAUUCCUAGUGUAGCGGUGAAAUGCGUAGAUAUUAGGAGGAACACCAGUGGCGAAGGCGGCUUACUGGACGACAACUGACGCUGAGGCUCGAAAGCGUGGGGAGCAAACAG
rnacentral:rRNA from 1 species